GCGAGGCAAAGCCGCGAGGCAGAGCGAAUCGCUAAAAGCCGUCCCAGUUCGGAUUGCAGGCUGCAACCCGCCUGCAUGAAGUUGGAAUCGCUAGUAAUCGCGGAUCAGCAUGCCGCGGUGAAUACGUUCCCGGGCCUUGUACACACCGCCCGUCACACCAUGAGAGUCGGGAACACCCGAAGUCCGUAGCCUGACCGCAAGGGGGGCGCGGCCGAAGGUGGGUUCGAUAAUUGGGGUGAAGUCGUAACAAGGUACC
rnacentral:rRNA from 1 species